AAAAAUCAUAUCUGUUUUACUGUUUCUAGGUUAGAAAAAUAGGUAUAUAAAAGUAAAAUGAAUAAAAAUAGUUUAGUGGACUGCAAAGCAAAUAUCCUAAGUUUUUGUUUGUAUUGUUAAGUUGCUAUGUUAUCAUUUCCCGAUUCUACCUGCUACGAUUAAAUCGCAUGACAAUUGGUGGUAUAGGACUUGGCCUUUUCAUUUUAUUAAUAACUUGGCUGAUAGCUAUAGUUAUAUUUGUAAUAGGAAUUAAAUUACAAAACAACGUUUCCUGGAUUGCAUUGGGCUUGGCCACCAUCUUUACCAUUAUUUUAUUAUGUAUCCCGACGAAAAAAGAAACUGAAGAAAUUAAACUUCAAUUUGAGGAAAAGGAUUAUACCAUUAUUUACAAAAACCUUAUUGUAAUAUUUUUAUUUCUCAGCACUUUGGCAGCAUUCUUCGUGUUUUUCAUUGGAUAUUGUAUCGAACCUGUUAGACCAAAAUA
rnacentral:lncRNA from 1 species